rnacentral:lncRNA from 1 species
AACAGAAUGCCUGAAUAAGAAAAAGCAAAAUAAACAUGAUGAAAUCAAUUCCAUUUCACCAUCCAAUUCAUGGAGGUGCAAACUACACCCUAAGCCAGCAACCUAAUGCGAACCAAAUCAGGACACCAAAACCAAACGCAUUAACAUACUACAGUCAUUGAGAGCAGGAGGCAAAUUCAGAGGAGCAACUACGUCAAAUUUUCAAGGAAUCAGAAUAAAAAAACUGAACGUUAUCCGUUUUAUUACUAAUUUCAGGGAAAAAAAGGAUGAAUAGAAAUCAUAAUUAAUUUUUUGACUCUUCAUGCUUCUAUUUGGUUUUGGUUCUUGACUUCACAAUUCUAGGAUUUUACAUUUUCAUCUGAAUUCUCGGCCUUUUUGAAUUUCCCAGCAACCAAACGGAACAAAAAAAAAAUGACUUAAGUCGGAAAACAAAAAAUAGAAUCGAAGCUUGUUUGAGUUUUUCUUUUGUUAUUUUCUGAUGGAUCGGUCACCUUGGAUUGACCUGGACGGAGAAAAGAGGCCGACGGUGAGAAUUCUGGAUGUGAGGCUUCGAAAGAAUGUAUAGUCGAUCUGAGGAGAGAAGAGGACGCCAUUUCCGAGAUACGAGCUCUUCUCCGCAGAUACUGCUCGAUCGAAUGAUAUUUCAAUAGUGAAACCCUAGAGAGAGAAACUGAGAAGGCUUUGGUUUAUCCUAUGCACCAACUCACAAUGGGCGGAGAUUCUUACGAAUUUCUCUCUCUCGUUCUGUCUCUCCUAGAGUCGGUUUCUUUCUGUAAAAGGAUCCUACUCCUACCAGAAAAUAAAAGUCGUUCGGCUCUCUUUCUAGGAGUCUCACGUAGGUGAGCUUGUCGCCUUAUGCAUAUCUGAGCUGGCCCCCGAAUGCCACGUCAUAUUUGUGUGUAAACGUAGCAUUAUU